CGUCCCUCCAUCUCUCCCACAAAUCUCUCCCGUAUCUCAACCUCCUUUCCCCUAUAUUAAAUCUUCAACCAUUACUUUUUCCUCACCUAUCGUCUCUGCAAGCAAGAAUCAUCCUUCAACUUCUACUCAAGUAACCAAAAUCCUCCAGCUUCAAGAACCAUUUUUUUUCUUCCUCAACAUCCGUCUGCAAUUGAAGGUGAGACUUCGCAAGGGAAUCGAGAUUCCAAAGGGAAGGAAGUGUAGAGAAUUAAGCAAUUGAGGUUGAGCGGCGACGAGGAUGUGGUGGUGUUGAGCAAGUGAAUUUAAGAUAUUAUGGUUGUUUUUUUGGGUGACGUUGUGUCUUCACACAUGACGUCACUCUUUCUCUUGGUCAUUUCCGCUGUGACUUUUCGUUUAUUCAUGUUUUAUUUGGGCCGACAACUUUAAUUGUUAGGAUAAUGGAUAUUCCGAAUUUCUUGUUGGAUAAUAUUAAACUCUUGGUUAUUUAAUUGGA